rnacentral:rRNA from 1 species
AGUGAACGUUGGCGGCGUGCCUAACACAUGCAAGUCGAACGAGAACCGAGUAGCUUGCUACUCGGGGAAAGUGGCGAACGGGUGAGUAACACGUGAGCAAUCUGCCCUCGAGUGAGGAAUAACCCCGCGAAAGCGGGGCUAAUACCGCAUGAUGCUUUGGAGCAUAAGCUUUCAGAGUUAAAGCCUUCGGACGCUUGAGGAUGAGCUUGCGUCCUAUUAGCUUGUUGGUAGGGUAACGGCCUACCAAGGUUAUGAUGGGUAGCCGGCCUGAGAGGGUGUCCGGCCACACUGGAACUGGGACACGGUCCAGACUCCUACGGGAGGUAGCAGUGAGGAAUUUUGCGCAAUGGGCGAAAGCCUGACGCAGCGACGCCGCGUGGAGGAUGAAGGCUUUCGGGUUGUAAACUCCUGUCAGAGGUGAAGAAAACUCCCUUCGGGGGGCUUGACGGUAACCUCAGAG